UAAUACUCAUAAAUAUUUAUCAACAUUAAAUUGAGAGAGGUAUCGUUCGAAAUGGCUUCAGCAUCAAAAGCCCUUGUGCUAUUCUUCACACUGCUUAUUAUUGCUACCUCAAUCCCAUCAUCAUCAUCUACUUCAUCAUCAUCAUCAUCAUCAUGUCCAAAGAAUACCCUCAAGUUGGAUGCAUGUGUUGAUUUGUUGAAUGGCUUGGCGAAGGUGAACCUUGGUGAACUUGUUCCCACACCAAAUCACCCAUGCUGCAGCCUUCUUGGUGAUUUGGUUAGAGUCCAAGCACGUGUCUGUCUUUGCACUUCCCUCAAACUCAACGUCUUGGAUUUGAUUAAACUCAACAUCCCAGAGCUUUCUGUCAACUUGCUCUUGAAUCAGUGCAGGCCCAAGGUUCCUCGCGGCUACAAAUGCUGAAAAAUUAAUCCCACUAAAUAAUUUCUUUUUAAAUUAAUCCUCAUCUUCAAGACCUUUUCAUCGUGUGUUUUUUCUUUGGAUAUUUAGUGCAUUAUUUAUUUAUUUAUUUAUUUUUAAGGAAUUGAAGCUUUUCUGCUUCUUCCUUAUAUACUUCGAAUUAUUGGUUCCAUUACCAUGUAAUUUGAAAUAUGUACACACAGUAGUGUACGUGCUGUUUCAAUAUUAAUAAAUUGCAGUUUUCUUCAUUUUCUUCUUUGUCAGAGGAUUAAUAUUGGCCUCUACUCUCUUCAACUGUUCAACACGGUUGAUUCAGAGCAUUAUUAACUUGGUUGGCAUAAAUCUAUUACUCAAUGAUUGUUCGUAUUACUCUCUCUUCAAGCGAAAAAAUAUCCAUAAGAUGGCACAAUUAUCUUUUUCUCUUGUAAUUAAGAAAUAUAAAAAUUCGUGGUUCAUCUCAUGAGCUCUAUCUAUCAGAAAACAUUCCUUACACGGCUGUAAUCGAGUAAUUUGACAGAAGAUUACUUUCGACAAGUAAAAUAUAAAUGAUUCUUCGAUUCAAUCUAAAUUACUACUACUAUUGAGUAGAACUAUUGGCACCCUUCCAAAAUCCUCUUAAAACUCCUUUUUUAAUUAUGCUUCACUUAAUACCAAAAAUACCCAUUUUUCUACAUAAACACUCUUUUCAUUCGAGGUAGUCUAGUCAUGCCAAAAAAAUAAAGGUUCUGCUAUUCAGAGACCUUGCACUCGCACGCUCACAGCUGUUCGUGAUGCCAUGCCUGAAGAUGUUGUUUAUCCAGCUGAGAUUGUGGGAAAACACUUUAAAUAUCGUCUCGAUGGAUCCAAGAUAAUCAAGAUUUUCUUGGAUCACGGGAAGAAGAACAACACUGAGUACAAGCUGGAUACAGAAAGCAUACUAGGAAAGACAUGUUUUCCAGUUAUCCAAUUACAAAAGCCUAAAGAGUUGUUGCAGAUGGUCAAUUCCAUUGUUGUUCUAUUGCAGCACUACAAUUACUUUGAAUAGGAUACUAUUUAAUAUUUUUCCUCUUAAAUUUAGUAUGUCUUGUGGCAUAGGACGGAUGAAAUUUAUAGAAAUUUCAUUUUUUUUUAAGUUUUUUGUAAUUGCAGAGAAUUGUUGUGCUGAAGAACCUCAUGCCUUUGCGUUGAAGUGAAAGAUAUUUGAACUUUCAGAACAACAAGAAAAGGUAAAAAGAUUGAAUUUUAUUUGUAUAUCUAGUAUUAAUAUAUUUAGUAUUAUAUAUAUCUAGUAUUAAUUUUAUUUUAUAUAUCUAGAAAAAAAAAUAUCUAGUAUUAAUUGUAUUUGUAUUGUCCUUAAUUAUAAUUAUAAUAAAAUAGAUGUUUUAUAUGAUUAAUGAAGGGGUGCCAGUAGUCAAACUUUUUACUAUUAUACAUCGCAUCUCUAAUUAAUUCUCCAGAUUCAUUAUUAAUUUCAUAAGAAAAGUAAACAAACACAAAAUCCAACAGAAAGCAAUAUAAGAAUACAAACACCACUCCAACAGAAAGCAAUAUAAUCCUCCCUAUGGUGUUAAGGUAUGGUUGCGUAAUGAUUGUUUAGGGAUUGCUUUCCCUCGUUUUGUUAAGCCUUAGCUUGUGUUAGGCUCGUUUCUCUUACCAAAAAAAAAAAAAAAAAAAAAAGAAUACAAACACACUGCAACUUACAAGAAUAUAAAAGGUUACGGCCAUCCAAGUUCGAGCUAGGGAUGGCAAUGGUAAUUUUGUGGAUAAUUAAAAUUACCAAAAGUUAAAAUUCACGUGUUGUUGGUAAUUUUGUGGGUUCGGGGCAGGUUUAGUAUUAUAAAUUGAAACCCGCACUAGGUUGUGAGUGGAUUUGGUAUUAGUCAAAUAUCCAACAGAUAGCCGCAUGGGUAUAUACCAACCAACAACUUUUUUUUAAUUAUUUUUAAUUGAAAAAAUAUUUAAAUCUAAAAAUAUAUAAAGUAAAAAAUGUAAAGUGUAAACAUAUAUGUAAGUUGCAAUGUGCCUAACAACCUAAACCCUAAUUAAAGUCAUAACCUAAACUAAAGGAAAUCCAAACUAAAGGGAAAUCACCCUUGAGCCGCACACAUGUGAUCUCUCAGUAUGUAGUGUUAUAUAUUACAAACUUAUAAUCAUCUAUCUUUUUUCAUGAUAAACUUGUAAAUGCAAAUUCUUCUAAUAAAGCAGAAAAUAGCAAAUUCUCUGAAGACGAAGAUAUUUUUAAUGAGGUAAAGAACUAAGUUUUUUUAACUUAAUGCAUGGAUUAUUAUAUACUUAUUAUAAUUUCAUAUGGAGUAUUAUUCUUUUACUUAAUCUAUGGAUCAUUUCAUUAUUAUAAUCUUGUUCUUCGGAUUAGUAUUUAAAAAGUAUAAUUUUUAAAAAAAUAUUAAUCUUAAUCAUUAUUGUAAGAAUCGUGUUGGAUGGGUGCUAAUAGUGUGAAUGAAGUAUCUUCUCUUGGAGCUUGUGUUGAAUGAUAAUAUGAAAUGAUAAUUAUUAUUUUUAGAUACUAGUUUGUGGCUUUUUUUUUAUGGAUUUGUAUAUUUUAUACUUAAAUUUGAGAAUUUGUGCUGGAUUGAUGUUGAAAUUUUAAUUUUCCAUUUACAUUAGUUAAAUUUAGAAUUGAGUUUGUUAUGUCAAAUUUUAGGUUAUUAUUAUUAAUUUAUAUAUUGAACAUUUGUAAUUUUAAAUGUGGAAACUCUCAAAAAAUCUGUUGGAUAUCAUUGUAGGUUUGGUAAUUGUCAAAACCUGAUAAAACCCAUAGCAGGUUGUGGGUGGGGGUGGGUUUGUUAAUUUAAAUUUUAUGCAGGUGCGGGUUUGGUAAUGGCAAACCCGUUAUGGGUAGUACUCUUUUUCAUCCUUAGUUCGAGUCUUGGGGGAGCUCGAGGAAUAAAAAGAUAAUUUGAGCUUGCCACCAUCCUUUACUAGAUUCUCUAGAAAAAAUAGUGAAACCCCUAUUAUGUGAAUAAAUUAAUCGAAAACCCUUGACAGUUUAAAAUACAUCCGAAAAGAGUGAAACCCCUAUUGUUUGACUAAAUUAAUCGAAAUCUCCUUGAUAUUUUAAAAUACAUCCAAACCCCCUCGAAUAUGUUUUAAAACAUUAGCAAAAAAAAGUUGACACUCAAUAAGGUUUGGAUGUAUUUUAAAACAGCAGAAGAGUUUCGAUUAGUUUAGUCAAACGAUAGAGUGGGUUUUGCUCUUUUUCCAUUGAGGCAAGGAAGUACAUGUUACAACUAGAUUUAUAAAAUAUUUACUUGAAUGUAAGAUCAAAGAUGUUUUAUUAUAGCAAUAUUUUUUUCCCCUGGUCAUGUUGAUUAUUUUUACUCAUGUUUGAUGAUGUAAUUGAAAAAUAAAAUACCGGUCUAGUGGUCAAAGAUUUAAAUCUAUGUGCUACAAAAUUUGGCCAAAGAUUUUCACUUACAGUCUACUUUACUUCCAUGUCUUAUUUAUUUAGCUGGAAACUCCCUUUUCAUAUCUAAGAUUUAUUUAAUUACCUAAUUGGUCCUCGGAUAGUUGUAUUCUUAAAUAUGCCUUAAAAGACUAUGUUGUUACUUUUGUUCAUUUAGCCAAAGCCAUUUUUAACUUCUUUUACAUUUUUAUCAUUGAAAUGUUAAGUAAAGUUUACCCUAAAUCAAAGAAGUAAUUAUACAAAUAUCCUUCUAAUUCAAAAAAUAAUAUUGUACGUGAUUUUAUAUAAAUAUCCAUCUAGUUGUAAACUUGUAAUACAUGUGCUUCCUCUCCGCCGAGAUCUCUUCCGAACGUGCAAUAUCUCAUUACAGCUCUGCAACCAAAUCAAAUUAAUGGUUGUUUCAAUAACCUUAUAUGCUGGUGAGGUGGCCAAAGAAAUGACUACUUGUAGAUUUCUUAACUAUACAUUGGACGUCAUGUUAUUAAAUUUCAGUUGCUUAAUUGAGGACUUGAAAAAGUGAUUUUCAAACCUUUUUUUUUUUUUUUUUUGUAUUAGCAAUCCGAGUUUGAUCAUUAAAAGAAGAUAAAUGGUUAAAAAAAUGAUUUAGGUUGUAUGUACGCCUCUAUCUUCAAAAUAAAUAAAUAAAUAAAUAAAAGUCUUUAAGAAUUGAACCGAAUGGCUUUCAAGCAAGUUUAUUUUUACUGGUCAUCUGAAUUCGAAUCCUAAAGUUAAGAGACUAAAAAAUUAUUUUAGACUUUGUUCGUCCUCCACUUUUUUUUUUAAAGAAUGUUAUUAAUUUUAGAUGGAAAUAGUAUUGCAUUAUCUCCAAAUCUAGUUGGAAUUAAUUAAAAAUCUUAUUAGUAAUUGUUUUAUGCUAUUCGUGCCAGCAACGUGAAAGCAAUGAUCCAUAAUUCCAUAUACGUGCAUGUAAAUGGUGUGGAAAUUAAAAAAAAUUUAAAAGCCAAAUGGAUAGCCUAUAAAAACCCAAAACUCUUCACCAUUAUUUUCAUCACAUCUCAAUAAGCACAAUCAAUAAUACUCAUAAAUAUUAUUCAACAUUAAAUUGAGAGAGAUAUCAUUCGAAAUGGCGUCAGCAUCGAAAGCUCUUGUACUAUUCUUCACAGUGCUUAUUAUUGCUACCUCAAUCCCAUCAUCAUCAGCUACUUCAUCAUCAUCAUCAUCAUCAUCAUCGUCAUCGUCAUCAUGUCCAAAGAAUACCCUCAAGUUGGAUGCAUGUGUUGAUUUGCUGAAUGGUUUGGCAAAGGUGAACCUUGG
rnacentral:lncRNA from 1 species